rnacentral:lncRNA from 1 species
AGCUUAAAUACAACUUCUCUUCAACGUGUUUAUUUCCACAAUGAGCCAGCUGGAGAAUUCAAGUAGCCAUCUGCGACGGACUUGCUGGUCUGGGUCUGGUUUCCUCUUAUAAGAGCAAUGGUUUGAAUUUGUAACCCGGGACUUUGGAAACUUGUUUCCCAGAUGUUGAAGACAAGAUGUUGCAUACUGACACUGGAUAUCGGACCCAGUCUAUGCUUAGGUCAUCACUGUGAAAACAGAAGCGGUAUGACUCAUUUCAAGCGUCUGAUUUACACACCCAUGAAGGAGCUCCUUCAGGAACUCAGAAAUCCAGACAACAGUUUUCAUGAAGCUGAUCAGCAGGAGCUUCCUCUGCCAGGCCUGCUCCCCAAAGGAAGAACGCUCAGAGCCAGGCCUUGGAGAUGAGAGAUGAGAUGCGUAAUGAAGAGCUGUUUGUUUUCUAGAGAUCUACAAGUCAAUUUGGGAUGCUUCAUCGGCCAAGUUUCUAUCUCUGUACUAGGCAACCAUUACAUGUUUACAGUUUGAAUAAAAUGUCCAUCCUUGCUUU